UACGAAGGGGGCUAGCGUUGUUGCGGAGUUUACUGGGCGUAAAGCGCACGUAGGCGGAUUGUUAAGUCAGGGGUGGAAAUCCCGGAGCCUCAACUCCGGAACUGCCUUUGAUACUGGCAAUCUAGAGUCCGGAAGAGGGUGAGGUGGAACUCCUAGUGUAGAGGUGGAAUUCGUAGAUAUUAGGAAGAACACCAGUGGCGAAGGCGGCUUGCCAGAAGCGCUCGACGGUGAGG
rnacentral:rRNA from 1 species